rnacentral:lncRNA from 1 species
AGCAUUAAUUUUGUUUGGCAUAAUUAAACUUCAUUAAUAAUUCUCAUGGGAGAUUACAAACAAGAGGACUGCAUAUUAAUGACCGAAAUUAAAACCUCAAAAGAUACCAUGAAACUCACUAAGAACUUCAUUUAUUUUUCUCACGUAAAUAACAUUUUACAGAUUUAUAGAGACACUAUGAGCCGUCCAUACUUUUUAAGCAGACAACCUUGCUUGCUUCUUCUAAUCCACUGGAGAGCCUCAUUUAUUUUUCUCACGUAAAUAACAUUUUACAGAUUUAUAGAGACACUAUGAGCCGUCCAUACUUUUUAAGCAGACAACCUUGCUUGCUUCUUCUAAUCCACUGGAGAGCCUCAUUUAUUUUUCUCACAUAAAUAGUUCUCAUCAUUUUACAUAUUGAUAAAGACAGCAGAAGCUCUCCAUACUUUGAAGCACUCAACCUUGCUUGCUUCUAAUCUUAAAGGCGCCGCCCACAAUUACGCUUGUAAGGAAGACAUGGUGUUGGUGUUGGUGGUUGGCUAGGGACGCAAUAUCGUUGACCCCUACCGCAAUUGAAUGGAACUUUGCCGGGGUCACCACCUGGGGUUUUUGUAGCUGAAAGAUUUGCACACACGUAUACAUAAGUUAGCUUGUUAAUUAGAUAAUAGCUGAAAUUGUUUGCAAUACACAAAGAGAUUACACAGACAAAAAAUAAUAAUAAAAUGAACUGCUUUUCUUAG